AUGGAACAACCUGCAACUGCACCUGCAACUAGCAAUGCUAUUAGAGGGGCUAUGCAAAGAGGUAACAUAGCCAAACAACGGUUUGCUAGGAAGGAUAAAAAGAUGUUCGAGUCAUCGGUAGCGGUACUUGGUGAAUCCCGAAAUGUCUUGGCGUCUUCGCACAUAGGGGUACUUGGUGAAUCCCGUGUAGUCGAACUUGAGGGGCAUCGACAUCGUGGUACUUGGCAUACAUGGGUACUUGACAAAGAUGAAACGGAUCGCAAAGGUUGGUACUUCCGUCCAUGGGUACUUGGUUUUUGUUGCAGGGUGGCCUUCGGUGGACUUGGUGGAAACCACAACGUGUGCAGGAGACAAACAACUCAAAUCGUCCACGGCCGUGCGGAAGACAGUGGUGCUCCUGUUACGGGGAGGUUCGAAUCACAGCAGCAGCAAGGCAACAGAGGCACAAGGGGCGAGGCGCACGUGGGAGCGAACUCGGGGAAGGGCGGAGCAGCUAGCAAUGGUAGCCACGGCGGGAAGACAGAGGAGUGGAACUCCAGCGACGAGGAGGCGAAGCUCGAGGGAGAGCUCGGGCGACUGCUGCUCCGGCAGCUCGACAAGGAGGCAGGGCCAGCCGCGGUGCAGUGGAGGGGACGGAGCAGAGGUGGUCGACGGGUGCUGGGAGGUGGUUGA
rnacentral:rRNA from 1 species